GAACUUGGCAAAAUAGCCUUGUAACUUCCGAAGAAGGGGUGCCUCCUCACAAAGGAGAUCGCAGUGACCAGGCCCGGACGACUGUUUAACAAAAACACAGGUCUCUACAAAGUCGUAAGAUCAUGUAUGGGGCUGAUGCUUGUCCAGUGCCGGAAGGUCAAGGAAGGUGAUGACCUGAUGACAUGGGAGCUGGCGACCGAAGCCCCGGUGAAAGGCGGGUCGUAGAGAUUAAUUCAAUUAGAGCAAGUCUUUUGUAACAAUUAGGCUGGAGU